rnacentral:misc_RNA from 1 species
GAAAUGCGAUAAGUAAUGUGAAUUGCAGAAUUCAGUGAAUCAUCGAAUCUUUGAACGCACCUUGCGCGCCUUGGUAUUCCUUGGAGCAUGCCUGUUUGAGUAUCAUGAAAUCUUCAAAGUAAAUCUUUUGUUAACUCAAUUGGUUUCUACUUUGGUAUUGGAGGUCUUUGCAGCUUCACACCUGCUCCUCUUUGUUCAUUAGCUGGAUCUCAGUGUUAUGCUUGGUUCCACUCGGCGUGAUAAGUUAUCUAUCGCUGAGGACACUGUAAAAGGUGGCCAAGGCAAAUGCAGAUGAACCGCUUCUAAUAGUCCAUUGACUUGGACAAUACUUUUAUGAUCUGAUCUCAAAUCAGGUAGGACUACCCGCUGAACUUAAGC